rnacentral:rRNA from 1 species
GAUGAACGCUGGCGGCGUGCCUAACACAUGCAAGUCGAACGGAGAUUACGGACGGAAGUUUUCGGAUGGAAGACUGUAAUUCUUAGUGGCGGACGGGUGAGUAACGCGUGGGCAACCUGCCCUAUACAGGGGGAUAGCAGCUGGAAACGGCUGGUAAGACCGCAUAAGUCGGCGAGACCGCAUGGUUUUGCCGGGAAAUGAGCAAUCAGGUAUAGGAUGGGCCCGCGUCCGAUUAGCCAGUUGGCAGGGUAAAAGCCUACCAAAGCAACGAUCGGUAGCCGGACUGAGAGGUCGGACGGCCACAUUGGGACUGAGACACGGCCCAAACUCCUACGGGAGGCAGUAGUGGGGGAUAUUGCACAAUGGAGGAAACUCUGAUGCAGCGACGCCGCGUGAGUGAAGAAGUAUUUCGGUAUGUAAAGCUCUAUCAGCAGGGAAGAUGAUGACGGUACCUGACUAAGAAGCCCCGGCUAACUACGU